rnacentral:rRNA from 1 species
UAGGGAAUCUUCCACAAUGGACGCAAGUCUGAUGGAGCAACGCCGCGUGAGUGAAGAAGGUUUUCGGAUCGUAAAGCUCUGUUGUUGGUGAAGAAGGAUAGAGGUAGUAACUGGCCUUUAUUUGACGGUAAUCAACCAGAAAGUCACGGCUAACUACGUGCCAGCAGCCGCGGUAAUACGUAGGUGGCAAGCGUUGUCCGGAUUUAUUGGGCGUAAAGCGAGCGCAGGCGGAAGAAUAAGUCUGAUGUGAACGCCCUCGGCUUAACCGAGGAACUGCAUCGGAAACUGUUUUUCUUGAGUGCAGAAGAGGAGAGUGGAAUUCCAUGUGUAGCGGUGGAAUGCGUAGAUAUAUGGAAGAACACCAGUGGCGAAGGCGACUCUCUGGUCUGCAACUGACGCUGAGGCUCGAAAGCAUGGGUAGCGAACAGG